CCUACGGGUGGCAGCAGUGGGGAAUAUUGCACAAUGGGGGAAAGCCUGAUGCAGCGAAGCCGCGUGAGGGAAGAAGUAAUUCGUUAUGGAAAGCUCUAUCAGCAGGGAAGAAAAUGACGGUACCUGAGUAAGAAGCCCCGGCUAACUACGUGCCAGCAGCCGCGGUAAUACGUAGGGGGCGAGCGUUAUCCGGAUUCACUGGGUGUAAAGGGAGCGUAGACGGCCAAGCAAGCCAGGGGUGAAAGCGCGGGGCCCAACCCCGGGACUGCCCUUGAAACUGCAUGGCUGGAGUGCGGGAGGGGCAGGCGGAAUUCCUGGUGUAGCGGUGAAAUGCGUAGAUAUCAGGAGGAACACCGGCGGCGAAGGCGGCCUGAUGGACCGCGACUGACGUUGAGGCUCGAAAGCGUGGGGAGCGAACAGGAUUAGAUACCCCAGUAGUC
rnacentral:rRNA from 1 species